CAAGGCAGGCAGAGAGAGACCCUCACAGGUCCCCAGCACCACCGAGGGUGGAACAGCACAAGACCUGAAGCGACUGCAGCCGGGCAGAUAAAGUCAGACAGACGGCGAUGCCAGGCGCUGCCCCCCCAGCACCCAGGUGAGCAGCGGCACCUCCGACACAACUUUGGGGUCACCGCAGAAGCCCCAGCAGCGGGGAGGGGGGGAACCAGGGGACGGCUGGGCCCCGGGGGAGCAGAAAGAAGCCAAGAGGCGAGCCGAUGGCCGGUCAGCCCUCACCAGCACGGCACUGCCCUGCCUGCUAAGCACAGGCCGGCUGAGUCAUCCCUCGGAGCAACUUCGCUGCCAGGGCUCCUCCGCCGAGCCGCGGGCAGGGAGCGCCCCAACCCACCCGGGGGUGCCCCCCCCCCCCCCACUACCACCACCACCACCGCGCCGCACCCCGGCUCCUCGCCUCCUAGCCGAGCCCCCCUGCUGCAAGACGAGGGAGCCGGGCAGCCCCCCGCCAGCCUCCCCGCGGCUCCCUACGAGCCCCAUCCCCGUCCUCCCCCCCCCCCCCCCCCCGCAGCGCCACUCACCCCGGGGGCCGGCGGCGGCAGCGGGCGGGCAGGAGGGAGGGAGGCAGCGGCGCCCCCCCGGGCCCGGCGGCUGGGCGGGGACCCCCCGCCCCGGGCGCUGAAGGCAGGCGGGGAGCGGGCGGUGCGGGGCCGGGGGAGCCGGGGCGCAGCCGCCGCCGCUGUUUGUUAUUGUCGGCAGCCGCUUCCGCAGCCGGGGGACGCCGGGAGGGGGCGGCCCCGGGGGGGGAGGGACCGGGCGGCGGAAGCGGCGGGGCCGGGCGGGGCCGGGCUGCGCCUCAGCAAAGCGCCGCGGCAGCGACCGCCGGGGUCAUUUCAGCCCCCACCAACCUUAAAAAGGCCCCAUCUGCCCGCCCCAGGUCCCCCUGCCGCCUUCCCAAGUUGUCUCAUGAGAUUAUUUAUUUAUUUAUUUUGGUACGAAGCAGCCCCUGAGCUUCCUGGGGGCUGGCCUCUUGCUCCUGCGCUGAGAAAGCGAAAAUAAACUUUGCACGCCUCGCUUUCGGGUUUCCCUUUUGUUUUUGGUUUCUCCGGUGGUGCGGUCACCUACAAAAGAGCGAGGCAGAGGGCGGCGUGAGGGGGCUUCGGCCUCGGCUGCCUGUGGGGUUGAGGACAUCCUCACAAGAAGCAAGGCUUCCUUGCAUCAUGCCUUCUCCUUAUCAUGUUAUUUGUGUUAUAUUUUCUGUGUAUUGCUGGGUCAUGUCUUCUGUGCUGCAGCACCGUGACCUUUUCCUGUAACGUGUACCAUAGGCAGCAGGUCAGGGAGUAUCACACAGAAUCACAGAAUUUCUAGGUUGGAAGAGACCUCAAGAUCAUCGAGUCCAACCUCUGACCUAACGCUAACAGUCCCCACUAAACCAUAUCCCUAAGCUCUACGUCUAAAUGUCUUUUAAAGACCUCCAGGGAUGGUGACUCCACCACUUCCCUGAGCAGCCUGUCCCAAUGUCUAACAACCCUUUUGGUAAAGAAGUUCUUCCUAAGGUCCAACCUAAAACUCCCCUGGCACAACUUAGAAGAAAUUCAAAGCACGAUGCCCCGGUCAGAAUAGGAAGAGAGCACAUGAGAGGAGGAAUGCAAAGCGAGAGCACAGGCAGCUCAUUUUCAGCCUGCAGGACAGAUGCAGUUAGUAAAAUAACUAGGGCCAUUAUAUAGCGCGUUUUCUUCCCCUCACCUGAGGUUUCCUCUUAGGCCUGUUUAAAUCCCAAGUGCACAGCCCUUCACCCAAUUUUAUUUUUUCUUUAGUUCAUCAGCCAGAAAACACACUUUCUCACAAGCUAGACCAGGCUUAUGGUUCUCGCAGUAAACUCUGAAGUAGUUCCUUCUGUCAGAUUGAAGAGCUUGCUGCCUGCCUGUCAUGUUAAAUAACAUUGAGCAGCCACAGCUUGUGCAGACAGGUAUUUGUUCCUGGAAAACACCACUGCUGUGGGAUUUUGCAAGUAAAUAAGGCCUUGCUACCCCCAGUUGCCACCUUGUGGCACCUGAUACCCAGUGCUUUCAGACUGCUGGAGCUUGUUGGGAUACAUGGCCUAGUUACCCACAUUGUGGAAGACAACUCUGGCACUUCGGAGUACAGCCGUGACUGGAGUGGAGAAGGCAUUGCUACUGAAAUGAGCACACGUGAUUUUAUGGGAAAUAUGAUCGGGGCAAUUGAGCAAUUCAGGGCAGCUUUGGGUAAUUUAACUUUGAUUACAUCAGUCAGGUGUUCUACAGAAGUUUAACUUUUUUUUUAUCUCCAAAAAUGGUCUUUUCCUUCAUAAAUUAAUUGAAUGUGAUGAAGGAUUGAUCUUCUGUACUGUGAAGGGAAUGACAUCCAGCUAGAACUUAACAAGUGCUAUAUAUACUCUAAACAGGGAGGUAAGCCAAAGUUAAAAAACAACAUUGAGGUUUAGUAAGCCUGAAGCACCAGAGAGCCUCAUUGAACUUGUCUGGCCAAGUAUCUUGAGGAGAUACUGCUGGGAGUUACCUGUUGCAGUUUGAGGGUCAAUGAGAGAAGCAACAGCAGAUACUCAGGCACUGAAGUGGCGGUGCCAACAGGCUUGGUAGUUUCCUAACAAAGAACCUCUGCCAUUCAGGCUUUCAGCAAUUGCAUAAAGGCUCUAGGCACUGAAGAAGGGCUGUACAGUCUUUGCCAGCACGUGCAGGACACCUUGAUUUCAGGGGCAGCUCAGGAAGGACUGAAGCAGGAACAGGAGUAAGCAAAGCACUGCUAGCAGAGCAGGUUGGUCUGGCUUGAUCUUGUAACAUUUCAUUAUGUUGCUUCCUCUCAAAGUGAUCCAGAGCCACUUCAUGCCAAGCAACUAAUUACAGUGUGUGUGUGUUGUUUUUUUUUCUUUUCCACGAACCUGUCUGAACAAAAACAAGCAAAAGUUUAACAUAAUAUCUAGCACAUCUGCCCUGAAAAGCUGUAUUUUAUGAAGACUAUUUUGCUCCAGGACAUAUAUAUAAAAGGCUUUAAUUUGGGGUUGCUGAUGAUUCUUCACAUUUCCAAAGCGCUGUAUUUAAGUUAUUAUUCUUUCAACUUAUUGUUCAGGAUUCACCGGUACAUUGUUUUCACAUUCUGUAAAACAGCCAAGGAGGUUGAAGGAGUUUUUCACUGUGUGCUUUUAAUUUGGGGAGCUAAAUUUGGCGUACCAAGGAAUGUGUCUCUUAGGUUGUAUGUUCAUGCAGCUGUAGCUGGGGAGCAAAAAGAAAGCGGUGCUCUGCGAGGGCAGGCAAGCUGGCAGCCGAGGCUGAUGGCGAGGUUGGCAGGGGCACUGUCUGUGAAUAAAUAGUGCAGUCCCACUGUAACA
rnacentral:lncRNA from 1 species